UACGUAGGGAGCAAGCGUUGUCCGGAAUCAUUGGGCGUAAAGCGCGCGUAGGCGGCCCUGUAAGUCCGCUGUGAAAGUCAAAGGCUCAACCUUUGAAAGCCGGUGGAUACUGCAGGGCUAGAGUCCGGAAGAGGCGAGUGGAAUUCCUGGUGUAGCGGUGGAAUGCGCAGAUAUCAGGAGGAACACCAAUAGCGAAGGCAGCUCGCUGGGACGGUACUGACGCUAAGGCGCGAAAGCGUGGGGAGCGAACA
rnacentral:rRNA from 1 species